UACGUAGGUGGCAAGCGUUGUCCGGAUUUAUUGGGCGUAAAGCGCGCGCAGGCGGUCCUUUAAGUCUGAUGUGAAAGCCCACGGCUCAACUGUGGAGGGUCAUUGGAAACUGGGGGGCUUGAGUGCAGAAGAGGAGAGCGGAAUUCCACGUGUAGCGGUGAAAUGCGUAGAGAUGUGGAGGAACACCAGUGGCGAAGGCGGCUUUCUGGUCUGUAACUGACGCUGAGGCGCGAAAGCGUGGGGAGCAAACAGG
rnacentral:rRNA from 1 species